rnacentral:rRNA from 1 species
CGGGGUGUCUAACCGUGCAAGUCGAGGGGCGCAUUUGGACUGGAUAGUCAUUCAAGGAGUGUACGACUUCACGGCUGAGUGACGAGUAUCGUAUCUUCCCCUUGCCUUUCGAAGGGGGACAGAAGGUGGGAUUAACUGCUAAUGUUGCGUUUUGAGUACAUCUGACAUCCUCGUGAGUUCACCGCUCAAGCAUGGGAAUGCUGCUGACUUAUUUGAUGGCCUUGUUGCGGGCCACCCGGGCUACCAUCGCUACGAUCUCUGACCGGACUGACCCCCUGAUCGGUCCUGUUGCGACUGACAUACUCCUACGACACCUACCGGAGGCUAAUAUUGAGGAUCGUUUGAGAUGCUGAACCGCCUGACUAUGCUGCGCUACGACUGCCCUAUGGGCCGUCAACUGCUUUUCUCCUGUAAUAAAGGAACGGGCGAGGGGACCCUUGUCUGCCCCCUAUGAAGUGUACUUUAAUAAUUCCCGGCCGCUAACUCUGUGCCUACAGACGGGCCAGUACUUAUCCCGAUUGCUUGGUUCUAAUUUACUGGCCGGCUGGGUUUUAAACGCGCUGUGAAAUGUCCCAUGUCAACCCUCCAGGCUCAACCCGAACUGUGCGUCUUAAACUACCGUGCUGGAUGCGGAAUUCGGGAAUCGGAAUAUAAAAUGCUUAGAUAUCAAUGCGAACUAUCCUAUAGAACACCGCAUACCGAACCUUAUUCCUUGUACACAACUGACGCUGAGGUAUCAAACAGGAUGAAUACCCUGGAUUACCGCCCUGGUACGAUGGACCUUCGCUGUGCACAAUCUACUGUCAGCGGUCAAGCGAAAGCGUUAUCAUCCCACCUGGUGAGUACUCCGCCACGGUGAAACUCACAGGAAUUGACGGGGCCCGCACUGCGGAGGAACAUGUGGUUUAAAUCAAUGAUACGCUUAGAACUUACCCGGCUUGAACUGCACAGGAAGGAUCUAGAGAUAGUGACGGCCUUCGAGGCCUCUGUGCAUUUGCUGCUUGUUUGUCGUCAGCUCUUGCCGUGAGGUGUUCGCUAAGUGCCAUAUCAG